rnacentral:rRNA from 1 species
AGGGAAUCUUCCACAAUGGACGAAAGUCUGAUGGAGCAACGCCGCGUGAGUGAUGAAGGUUUUCGGAUCGUAAAACUCUGUUGUAAGGGAAGAACCAGUACGUCAGGCAAUGGACGUACCUUGACGGUACCUUAUUAGAAAGCCACGGCUAACUACGUGCCAGCAGCCGCGGUAAUACGUAGGUGGCAAGCGUUGUCCGGAAUUAUUGGGCGUAAAGCGCGCGCAGGUGGUUUCUUAAGUCUGAUGUGAAAGCCACGGCUUAACCGUGGAGGGCAAUGGAAACCGGGGGGCUUGAGGGGAAGAGGGGAAAGGGGAAUUUCAAGUGUAGCGGUGAAAUGCGUAGAGAUUUGGGGGAAAACCAGUGGCGAAGGGGAAUUUCUGGUCUGGAACUGAAGGUGAGGCGCGAAAGCAUGGGGAGCAAACA